UGGGGAAUAUUGGACAAUGGGGGCAACCCUGAUCCAGCAAUGCCGCGUGUGUGAAGAAGGUCUUCGGAUUGUAAAGCACUUUCGACGGGGACGAUGAUGACGGUACCCGUAGAGGAAGCCCCGGCUAACUUCGUGCCAGCAGCCGCGGUAAUACGAAGGGGGCUAGCGCUGCUCGGAAUGACUGGGCGUAAAGGGCGUGUAGGCGGUUUACACAGUCAGAUGUGAAAUCCCCGGGCUUAACCUGGGAGCUGCAUUUGAUACGUGUAGACUAGAGUGUGAGAGAGGGUUGUGGAAUUCCCAGUGUAGAGGUGAAAUUCGUAGAUAUUGGGAAGAACACCGGUGGCGAAGGCGGCAACCUGGCUCAUGACUGACGCUGAGGCGCGAAAGCGUGGGGAGCAAACAGGAUUAGAUACCCUGGUAGUCCACGCUGUAAACGAUGUGUGCCAGAUGUUGGGUAACUUUGUUA
rnacentral:rRNA from 1 species